AACGAACGCUGGCGGCAUGCCUAACACAUGCAAGUCGAACGAGACCUUCGGGUCUAGUGGCGCACGGGUGCGUAACGCGUGGGAAUCUGCCCUUGGGUUCGGAAUAACAGUUGGAAACGACUGCUAAUACCGGAUGAUGACGUAAGUCCAAAGAUUUAUCGCCCAGGGAUGAGCCCGCGUAGGAUUAGCUAGUUGGUGGGGUAAAGGCUUACCAAGGCGACGAUCCUUAGCUGGUCUGAGGGGAUGAUCAGCCACACUGGGACUGAGACACGGCCCAGACUCCUACGGGAGGCAGCAGUGGGGAAUAUUGGACAAUGGGCGAAAGCCUGAUCCAGCAAUGCCGCGUGAGUGAUGAAGGCCUUAGAGUUGUAAAACUCUUUUACCCGGGAUGAUAAUGACAGUACCGGGAGAAUAAGCCCCGGCUAACUCCGUG
rnacentral:rRNA from 1 species